rfam:Ictidomys tridecemlineatus contig041146, whole genome shotgun sequence.
GGGGUUGUGGCUCAGUGGUAGAGCACUCACCUAGCAUGUGAGAGGACCUGAGUUCAAUCCUCAGCAUCACAU